GCGCCGGUCGUAUAGCGGCAAUUACAUGUGGCUGUAGACCACACGCCUUCGGGCUACGGGGGUUCGAGUCCCUCCCGGCGCA
rnacentral:tRNA from 1 species